UAAGGGCGCACGGUGGAUGCCUUGGCACUAGAAGCCGAUGAAGGACGUUACUAACGACGAUAUGCUUUGGGGAGCUGUAAGUAAGCUUUGAUCCAGAGAUUUCCGAAUGGGGAAACCCAGCAUGAGUUAUGUCAUGUUAUCGAUAUGUGAAUACAUAGCAUAUCAGAAGGCACACCCGGAGAACUGAAACAUCUUAGUACCCGGAGGAAGAGAAAGAAAAUUCGAUUCCCUUAGUAGCGGCGAGCGAAACGGGAAGAGCCCAAACCAACAAGCUUGCUUGUUGGGGUUGUAGGACACUCUAUACGGAGUUACAAAGGACGACAUUAGACGAAUCAUCUGGAAAGAUGAAUCAAAGAAGGUAAUAAUCCUGUAGUCGAAAAUGUUGUCUCUCUUGAGUGGAUCCUGAGUACGACGGAGCACGUGAAAUUCCGUCGGAAUCUGGGAGGACCAUCUCCUAAGGCUAAAUACUCUCUAGUGACCGAUAGUGAACCAGUACCGUGAGGGAAAGGUGAAAAGCACCCCGGAAGGGGAGUGAAAUAGAACCUGAAACCGUGUGCUUACAAGUAGUCAGAGCCCGUUAAUGGGUGAUGGCGUGCCUUUUGUAGAAUGAACCGGCGAGUUACGAUUUGAUGCAAGGUUAAGCAGUAAAUGUGGAGCCGUAGCGAAAGCGAGUCUGAAUAGGGCGUUUAGUAUUUGGUCGUAGACCCGAAACCAGGUGAUCUACCCUUGGUCAGGUUGAAGUUCAGGUAACACUGAAUGGAGGACCGAACCGACUUACGUUGAAAAGUGAGCGGAUGAACUGAGGGUAGCGGAGAAAUUCCAAUCGAACCUGGAGAUAGCUGGUUCUCUCCGAAAUAGCUUUAGGGCUAGCCUCAAGUGAUGAUUAUUGGAGGUAGAGCACUGUUUGGACGAGGGGCCCCUCUCGGGUUACCGAAUUCAGACAAACUCCGAAUGCCAAUUAAUUUAACUUGGGAGUCAGAACAUGGGUGAUAAGGUCCGUGUUCGAAAGGGAAACAGCCCAGACCACCAGCUAAGGUCCCAAAAUAUAUGUUAAGUGGAAAAGGAUGUGGCGUUGCCCAGACAACUAGGAUGUUGGCUUAGAAGCAGCCAUCAUUUAAAGAGUGCGUAAUAGCUCACUAGUCGAGUGACACUGCGCCGAAAAUGUACCGGGGCUAAACAUAUUACCGAAGCUGUGGAUUGUCCUUUGGACAAUGGUAGGAGAGCGUUCUAAGGGCGUUGAAGCAUGAUCGUAAGGACAUGUGGAGCGCUUAGAAGUGAGAAUGCCGGUGUGAGUAGCGAAAGACGGGUGAGAAUCCCGUCCACCGAUUGACUAAGGUUUCCAGAGGAAGGCUCGUCCGCUCUGGGUUAGUCGGGUCCUAAGCUGAGGCCGACAGGCGUAGGCGAUGGAUAACAGGUUGAUAUUCCUGUACCACCUAUAAUCGUUUUAAUCGAUGGGGGGACGCAGUAGGAUAGGCGAAGCGUGCGAUUGGAUUGCACGUCUAAGCAGUAAGGCUGAGUAUUAGGCAAAUCCGGUACUCGUUAAGGCUGAGCUGUGAUGGGGAGAAGACAUUGUGUCUUCGAGUCGUUGAUUUCACACUGCCGAGAAAAGCCUCUAGAUAGAAAAUAGGUGCCCGUACCGCAAACCGACACAGGUAGUCAAGAUGAGAAUUCUAAGGUGAGCGAGCGAACUCUCGUUAAGGAACUCGGCAAAAUGACCCCGUAACUUCGGGAGAAGGGGUGCUCUUUAGGGUUAACGCCCAGAAGAGCCGCAGUGAAUAGGCCCAAGCGACUGUUUAUCAAAAACACAGGUCUCUGCUAAACCGUAAGGUGAUGUAUAGGGGCUGACGCCUGCCCGGUGCUGGAAGGUUAAGAGGAGUGGUUAGCUUCUGCGAAGCUACGAAUCGAAGCCCCAGUAAACGGCGGCCGUAACUAUAACGGUCCUAAGGUAGCGAAAUUCCUUGUCGGGUAAGUUCCGACCCGCACGAAAGGCGUAACGAUUUGGGCACUGUCUCAACGAGAGACUCGGUGAAAUCAUAGUACCUGUGAAGAUGCAGGUUACCCGCGACAGGACGGAAAGACCCCGUGGAGCUUUACUGUAGCCUGAUAUUGAAAUUCGGCACAGCUUGUACAGGAUAGGUAGGAGCCUUUGAAACGUGAGCGCUAGCUUACGUGGAGGCGCUGGUGGGAUACUACCCUAGCUGUGUUGGCUUUCUAACCCGCACCACUUAUCGUGGUGGGAGACAGUGUCAGGCGGGCAGUUUGACUGGGGCGGUCGCCUCCUAAAAGGUAACGGAGGCGCUCAAAGGUUCCCUCAGAAUGGUUGGAAAUCAUUCAUAGAGUGUAAAGGCAUAAGGGAGCUUGACUGCGAGACCUACAAGUCGAGCAGGGUCGAAAGACGGA
rnacentral:rRNA from 1 species